UACAAAGCAGUGAAUUCUUCUUUUCACGGAGGUACUUAUUUGUCCAUAUGUGUUGAGGUUUCGCUAGUCAGUCUUCUAUGAGUACAGAUAAAUUUCAAUUUUUCUUCCUUAUUGACUCCUUUGUCUUUGUCAUAACUACUGUUUUAUGGUAGUUUCUCAAUUAGGACAUUAUUUUCACCAAAGUGUGUUGUAUUUGCUGCCAUGGAGUUCUUAGUUCAGAUGCUUAUGUUCUUAUGGUGAUACAAUCGAUAAGGUCUCUGAUGGUGAUGAGGUCUCUUACUCUUAUGGCUAUGGAUACCUGAUAAGUACUUGACCAACUCUAGAUCUUUAGAUAGUGGUGUAAAAUACUUCU
rnacentral:lncRNA from 1 species